rnacentral:misc_RNA from 1 species
AAGUCGUAACAAGGUUUCCGUAGGUGAACCUGCGGAAGGAUCAUUAACACAAAAAGUUCUUUUUUUUUUUGCUUUGUAACAAAAGCAAAGAAAAAACCCUUUUAUCCACCCCUUUUUGAACGAACGAUGAUUUAUUUCAUUUUCUCCAAAACACUUUAUUUUUUUUACCCCAUAUACCAAACAUGCGAUAGACUGAUAUCAUUUUUUAUGAUCAUUAUCUAUUUAAUGAUUACGAAAACAACUCUUAGCAACGGAUAUCUUGGCUCUC